CGUGGUCUUCGCGAUAGAAGA
rfam:French Barley Mosaic Virus partial cp gene, cp gene readthrough and cysteine-rich protein gene, genomic segment RNA2